rnacentral:rRNA from 1 species
UACGUAGGGUGCGAGCGUUGUCCGGAAUUAUUGGGCGUAAAGGGCUCGUAGGCGGUUUGUCGCGUCGGGAGUGAAAACACCGGGCUUAACUCGGUGCUUGCUUUCGAUACGGGCAGACUAGAGGUAUGCAGGGGAGAACGGAAUUCCUGGUGUAGCGGUGAAAUGCGCAGAUAUCUGGAGGAACACCGGUGGCGAAGGCGGCAUCCUGGACCGACACUGACGCUGAGGAGCGAAAGCCAGGGGAGCAAACGGG